CGGGCCCUAUGCAAUUUGCGAAGUCGCCAACCCCGCCAGGUUCGGAAGAAAGCAACGGUAACGUUCUUCCAGAUGUGCCGUAGGUAGCCUGA
rnacentral:SRP_RNA from 1 species